rnacentral:lncRNA from 1 species
CUAAGGGACGACAUCAAAAGUUCAAUGUAGGAUAAAAAAAUUAAUUCACAUAGAUUUUUCACUGACCCCCCACCCCCCCCCCCCCUCUUAACUUAAUUUGGGAAAAAUUGAUUUACCUAUAUGGAUAUAUGUAAAAUCGAUUUUGGAUUAACAAAACUUGCAGCAAUGUUGACCCCCCACCCCCAAACUAUUUGAUUUAAGUUUUUUAUCCUACAUCGAUCUUUUGAUGUCGUCCCUAACAUA